UGACAAUUCACUCUAAUUAAUAUGUAUAUGUAGAAUAGUUUUAUGACCGAGAGUUUAAAAAGAUUCCUCUACUGGAGAGAGCCUAUUGCCAUUAGGUAAGUGUAAUUAGCAUCUUCUUCUAUGGCAAAUCUGCAGAGACUGAGAUAGGAACUUGGCCUGUGAUAAUUUCCCUCUAAUUGGAUAAAAUGCCCUUCACUGAAAGAAAGCAAACCUGAAGAGUAGCUUUCUCUAAACUAGCAAUGAGUCUUUACUAUGUGUAAUUAAAAUUCAGAUACAACAAGCUCUCCCCACUGCUGCCCAUCUGCCAGCCAGCACAUUGUAUAUGGGGCUAUGUGAUACAGCACUUGUGGGUAUUUGGAGGAAGCCAGAACUCUCUCCAAUCCCGCCACUGAAGGAAGGGAGAACACACACCCACGCCAAAGGGGAGAGGGCAGUGAGGACAUUCCAGAGAGGCUCAUGUUCCCUCAGGGGCACUGGAACGAAAUAAAAGUGUUUCAAAGGGAAGCCGGACUGCUUCCCUCCCACAGGCAACAAACUUUAUCUCAUCUUAAGCACUGGAGUUCUAAAAGCCACACUCAGGGCACCUGGAAGACAAGAUGGGAAAACAAGCCCAGAGAAUAAAUAAUGAAGAAUGACUGCCACCGCCCUAAAGACUUCCAAAGACUUCGAAGGGAAAGGUAACGUCAUCAACCUCGACAGCUCUGGAGUCAUAACCUCAAGGAGAAAUAGGAUAAGGAGGGACUAUAGCAAACUAAACAAUAUUCAAGUGGUAUAUGUGCACGUCUGUUACAUGGGUAUAUUGCUUGACUCCGAGGCCUGGGGUAUUAAUGAUUCUAACACCAAGUAA
rnacentral:lncRNA from 1 species